UAGUAGGUGGCUCUCACUGGAGUGAAGCA
rnacentral:piRNA from 1 species